rnacentral:rRNA from 1 species
AGCGAACGCUGGCGGCAGGCUUAACACAUGCAAGUCGAGCGCCGUAGCAAUACGGAGCGGCAGACGGGUGAGUAACACGUGGGAACGUGCCUUCUGGUUCGGAAUAACUCAGGGAAACUUGAGCUAAUACCGAAUAAGCCCUUCGGGGGAAAGAUUUAUCGCCGGAAGAUCGGCCCGCGUAAGAUUAGCUAGUUGGUGAGGUAAUGGCUCACCAAGGCUACGAUCUUUAGCUGGUCUGAGAGGAUGAUCAGCCACAUUGGGACUGAGACACGGCCCAAACUCCUACGGGAGGCAGCAGUGGGGAAUAUUGGACAAUGGGCGCAAGCCUGAUCCAGCCAUGCCGCGUGAGUGAUGAAGGCCUUAGGGUUGUAAAGCUCUUUUAGCGGAGACGAUAAUGACGGUAUCCGCAGAAAAAGCCCCGGCCAACUUCGUGCCAGCCGCCGCGGUAACAC